GGAUCAAUGCGCGGUCGUGCCUUGGGUACGUACUAGCGUCAUUGAUUCCUCCCUUCUGAAGAACCGUGAUGUCAUUAAUUUGGUGUUACGGGGAAUCAGGACUACAACCUUGAAAAAAUUAGUGUUUAAAGCAGGCUAACGCUUGAAUACAUUAGCAUGGAAUAAUGAAAUAGGACGUUCGAACCUAUUUUGUUGGUUUCUAGGAUCGACGUAAUGAUUAAU
rnacentral:rRNA from 1 species